rnacentral:rRNA from 1 species
GAUAAGGUUAAGUUAAUAAGGGCGCACGGUGGAUGCCUUGGCACUAGAAGCCGAAGAAGGACGUGACUAACGACGAAAUGCUUUGGGGAGCUGUAAGUAAGCGCUGAUCCAGAGAUGUCCGAAUGGGGGAACCCACUAGCUACUGGCUAGUAUCCAUAACUGUUAAGGUUAUGAGAAGGAAGACGCAGUGAACUGAAACAUCUAAGUAGCUGCAGGAAGAGAAAGCAAACGCGAUUGCCUUAGUAGCGGCGAGCGAAACGGCAGGAGGGCAAACCGAGAAGUUUACUUCUCGGGGUUGUAGGACUGCGACGUGGGACUUUAAAAGGAUAGAAGAAUUACCUGGGAAGGUAAGCCAAAGAGAGUAAUAGCCUCGUAUUUAAAAUUCUUUUGAGCCCUAGCAGUAUCCUGAGUACGGCGAGACACGCGAAAUCUCGUCGGAAUCUGGGAGGACCAUCUCCCAACCCUAAAUACUCUCUAGUGACCGAUAGUGAACCAGUACCGUGAGGGAAAGGUGAAAAGCACCCCGGGAGGGGAGUGAAAUAGAACCUGAAACCGUGUGCCUACAACAAGUUCGAGCCCGUUAAUGGGUGAGAGCGUGCCUUUUGUAGAAUGA